rnacentral:lncRNA from 1 species
UUUAUUACUUUCCGAGUUUAGUCUUUUUCAAAUAUUAAUUGAGUUUGAGUUACUUUUAAGUGAGGAUUGCUCCGACGCAGGAUGAGAUAUCAAAAGUUGGAUCUCAACUGGAAGCGCUUAAGGUAUACUCCAGUAAUUGAGGACAAUACAUACAUACACUGUCAUGCUUAGAUAUACACUUCAUAAUAUUCACAUGUGUUUCAUAUGGCUGCAUAUUUCUGGACUGAGGAUGACGCAACCCGUCCUGAAUCACCCUAAAGGACCCAACACGUGUCGUGCGUCGAUGAUAGUACCAACUAAGUGUCGGACCUACCAUUAAAGCAACUUUGACCUUCUUUAUCUGCGACAAACUUAAUAAAAAUUUUGGCAAAUUUCCCUUUAAAAUAUGGACUAAAACCACCUCAGAAUAUAAUCAAGUAUCCCAAACAUGUACAUGAAGUUUAAAAUAAGGUACACCGGCCCCUCAGAAUACCAACUAUUCAAAAUACUAUACUGACAAUUCGACCUUUGCAAUAAUUUACAAACAGGUGUUCCCAAAUGCAUAAUAUAUACAAAAUACAGCAAGCCCAAGACAUGUAACUAAUUUCUAAUCAAAAUAUGUGUCUAUGCCAAAUAUGAACUUUAUAAACUGAUAGAGAUGAAUCAUAGGCGCUUGACAAUACAUGACUCAACUCGAUAGAUCAAUUGGCCCCUAGUGGUGUUUAACUUAGCUACUAUCUAAUAAGAGAAAGGGUGAUGAAAAAAUAUGAGCCUACAACUUAAUGAGUGGAUAUUUCGCAAGUAUAUAAUUUCCAUUUAUGCCAACUUUCUGAAAACUGGUAUAUAAUAAAAAUGUUCAUUUACGGUACUAUAAGCUAAAAUAUUUAUUCUUUAAACUGAAAUGACUAAAUUCUGUAAUAUGAAACUGAUAAACUGUAAAUUAUUGAAAAUCACAACAAAAAGUACCCGGAAUAACCUUACUCAUGUAUCGGUUAGUACUGAUAUACAUAGCAAAGUUAUUAAAUUUUGAAAUUCUGUAAUUCUGGUCAUACGCAUGCAGAGCUGCCCAAAGGCUAUAAUCUGGUUAUACACUAUGGAGAAUACAUUCACAAUAGUGCAGAGCGGAUAAGAUCACUAUAACUGAUCAUACACUGUGAAAACACAUUCACACAAAUAUACACUAUGGUAAAAUUAACUGGGUAUUUUCUAAUGGUUUUAAAAAUAACUUUAAAUAUGCUGAAAUAUUUAAUACUGAAAUAGUAUGCCAAUGAAAUGAUUUAACUUUAAAAAUAACUAUUUAUAAAUCAACUUUAUUCUGAAAAUUAUGCUGUCAAAUCCACUGUAUGAAAUAAUAAAUUUUCUAAUUUAAUAUAAAUUUAAUAAAUACUAAUUUUUGAAAAAUAAAUUUAUAUCCACCCACAAGUCAAGCUAUAGCCUAAGAUGGUCGGUAGGCUUUUUCGAUAUCCUUGUUACCAGCUGAAAUACGACACAAAAUAACCAAUUUAACCACUAUUAAAACAAAAACAAAAAAAACUUUUAUCUCUAAUGAUAUAAUACCUAAAUUAAUUCUCGAUAUUUGAAUAAAUUUCCAAAUUUUCCUUUAAUCAAUUGGAAUUAAUUCCACUUUCUAGUUCAUUUACUAAUAACCGAUUCCUCCAAUUAAUCUUCAUCCAAGGCAUGUAAAUAAUUUAUCCUUUCAAUCUAGUGAAAACUAGCAAUCAUACUCCAACCAAUUUAAGAUAUAUCUUGCUCCAUAAAAUUAUUCUUUCAAGUGAAUAAUUCCAUCACUUGAUCAUUUCCACAAUUAAUUUUUACUCAAUCGUCCAAUUUAAAAAACUAGGGUUUACUAGAAUUUGAUAUUUCUUACCUUAAGGUAGAUAGAAAUUAACCAAUCAAGGAAUCUUCACAAGGUAUAGUUCUAAUUUCUCUUAAUCUAUAAUUUAUAUCCACAAAUUAACCAACUACUUUAAACCUUAGAAAUUUCAGCAUCAUCAUUGUAUACAAAAAAAUUAUGUCUUUACCUCUUGAAGAAAUUGAAGACCUCAAACCCAAGUUUACCUUCCUUUCCCUCUCCUUUUCUUUCUUCUUCUUUCUUUCUUUCUCCCUCUUUUUCUUCCUCUAUUUUCUCGAAUUUUCUCCCUCUGCCGAACUCCCCCUCACUGCCUGAUUUUUAGUGUGUUUGAGUGUGUGUUUU